GUGCCCAUAUUACGAUUCGGUUGGAAAAUCUAUACAAAUGAGUGCCAAAUCAUGCCAAUCAGCGAAGAUUCCAUGCCCGGCAAGAUAUCCAUCAAAUACAACGUAUAUUUACACAAGCUGUUAUCCUUCAAUUUUCGUCACAGGAGGAGCAGAGAAAAGGACAGUGAGUGGAAUGCAUUUCUGGAAAACAAUCCUUCUGAUGAUACCAAUCUAUUUAUUAUAUAUUACUGGUUAUCAUGAUAUAUGAAUAUGAGGGUUGUCCCAAUAAGUCGUGGUCAAUAUAACUUUUUGACAUGCAACCAAUACUAAUAAAAUUUUGCAUAGACAUCAUUUAUUCAAUGUUCUUUUAAAUUAUGAAUUCUUAAAUAUAUAUCGUUCAUAUUAUUAAUAUUGGCGGGUUAUAUGAAGGCCGAUAUGGUCUGUCGGCGCACGAACAAAAUUCGGAAUAACUUACGCAUGUAACUAUUACAUUUGCUUUUAUUUUUUUUUGGGGGGGGUACUAUGUCAAACAUUGAGCUCAAAUUUAAAUCAGUGAAACUAGAAUCAAAAUCUCAACAUUUCAAAUUUUCAUAUAAAUAGCAUUAGAAUCGAUCGAUUAGUGUCAUGAUUUUCAAAGUGUUGUUAGAAUUGAGUUUGAUGAAAAUGACGCCACCAAACGCGUAACAGGCGCGCGGAGAUGUAAUACAUUGUUUUGGAUAUUGUUUAGAUAUAUCGGAGACGGGAAGAAAGAGUACAGAAGUGACAUUACAUACUAUAGCUUCUUAUAGAGAAGUUGUUUUAAAAUGGUAUGAGUUUUAAUGAUAGUUUUUCCUCGAUAUCGAGAAUAGUUACCGCAUGGAAGAAGAAGAGUACUGUUUGUUAAACGCAGACGGUUGGGUACCUCGUGGACCAUGAUUGACAUAAAGUAUUCUAUGUUGCCUACAGUGUAAGAUGAACUUUCGACUAAUUUUCGACUGAAAUUUGAAUAUGCUAAAAAAAAUUACGGACAGUAGUGAAUUCAAAUAAGUCCAGACAAAAGUGGAUUUUCACUUUAAAAAAAUAUUGGAUGUUAACAGACGCGUGUGAAGCAGAAGUGGACAUCAUGACGUUAUAAGAGACGUAAAUUACGCUUGCUUUCGUGCGCUGAUAUACAAUUACAUGCUUUCGUAAUUUUUUUUUCAUAAAUUUUUUAUUAAAUGUUUUAUCAUCAUGAAACUUGAAAUCAUAAAAUGUUACAUAAAAUGUUACAUUUUGCUAUGGCAAAAAAAAAAAAUUUAAUUUACCAAAGAGAAACUUAACUGUUCGCUCUGUCUAAGACUUUUUGGGACAACCCUCGUAUAUAAACUUUAAAGUGGUAUCACGGUGUGUGUUUUAAUAAAUCAAUUUUAGUGACGUUUUGAAAAGCUAACUUUGAAAUAUACUUUUAAUUUACUGUAAUUACUUUAAACAUCAGGAAACUUUAAUUAUUUAAUUACUUUGUUACUCUAAAUGUAUAAAUUUAUUAUUUGCAUAGAGGAAAAUAAAACAAACAUGAUUUAAAACACGUUUAUUUUGAUAUUGGCGAUUGUUGUUCGUGGCAUAUGUAAAAGCAGCAAGGGGUCGCCAAGCGUUAAGGGCGACCCCAAAUUACAACAAGCAGCAGCAGUAGCAAACAACAUGAAAGCAUAAUAUUACAUGUACUUAUAAUAAGCAUA